UGGGGCUCUUUAAGAAGAAGUUUGCCAAAGCUUGCUCUGGAAGAUGGAUGAUUCUUCAGAUGAACUGUAGACUGUCCCAGAGUCUUGGGCUUGUGCUGGGGGCCACCAUAUUGAUCCAGCAGCCUCCGGAGAGAGGUUCAACAAAGAGAGAGAGAGAGUCUGGUCCAGUGCCUCUGAGGGGCCUGCCCUGCUGAGCAACAAGCUGGAGGCAGAAGGAUGGCAGAGAGGACAGGGAACCUUGUGGGUCCUAGGCCGCUGGGUAACAACACUCCCACCUCCCAUGUGCUCCAACACACCAUCACCCACGGCAUCUGCUUCCUGCUUUUCUCCUUUCACAGCUCCCGCGUGUGCUCACGUAAGUUUAAGGAAAAGACUGGACCCCAGGAGGCAGGAGAGAGAAGGAGCCUUUCCUCUUCCCCUUCCCCAACUGCUACUCCUCCCCACCCUGCCCACUGCCCUGCUACCAGAGGGAGCCAGCAGUUGUAGACCAGAGAUGCUCCAGUGACCUGGCUUUGCCCCGGUGACAUCGAGUCUACCUUUGGUUUCCGUGAACUUGCCUAAUGGAGGGACCUCACAUACAUGGAAUCGGGUAAUAGUAGCUCCUGGUGUCUGGCGUAUCUCACUCAGCACAGCGACUUUGGAUUUCAUCCAUGCUGCAACGUGCUGGUACUUCCUUCCUUUUCAUGGCUGAAUGUCCCAUCACAGGAGUACGACACUUACUUAUCCUUUCGUCUAUCAGUGGCACCUGGGCUGUUUCUACCUUCGGUUAUGAGAAAAUGCCGCUGUGAGCACUGAUGGACAAGUAGCUGUUUGAGCCCGACUUCAAUUCCCUC